rnacentral:rRNA from 1 species
GCGAGUCGAGCGGCAGCACGGGUACUUGUACCUGGUGGCGAGCGGCGGACGGGUGAGUAAUGCCUAGGAAUCUGCCUGGUAGUGGGGGAUAACGCUCGGAAACGGACGCUAAUACCGCAUACGUCCUACGGGAGAAAGCAGGGGACCUUCGGGCCUUGCGCUAUCAGAUGAGCCUAGGUCGGAUUAGCUAGUUGGUGAGGUAAUGGCUCACCAAGGCGACGAUCCGUAACUGGUCUGAGAGGAUGAUCAGUCACACUGGAACUGAGACACGGUCCAGACUCCUACGGGAGGCAGCAGUGGGGAAUAUUGGACAAUGGGCGAAAGCCUGAUCCAGCCAUGCCGCGUGUGUGAAGAAGGUCUUCGGAUUGUAAAGCACUUUAAGUUGGGAGGAAGGGCAUUUACCUAAUACGUAAGUGUUUUGACGUUACCGACAGAAUAAGCACCGGCUAACUCUGUGCCAGCAGCCGCGGUAAUACAGAGGGUGCAAGCGUUAAUCGGAAUUACUGGGCGUAAAGCGCGCGUAGGUGGUUUGUUAAGUUGGAUGUGAAAUCCCCGGUCUCAACCUGGGAACUGCAUCCAAAACUGGCAAGCUAGAGUAUGGUAGAGGGUGGUGGAAUUUCCUGUGUAGCGGUGAAAUGCGUAGAUAUAGUAAGGAACACCAGUGACGAAGGCGACCACCUGGACUGAUACUGACACUGAGGUGCGAAAGCGUGGGGAGCAAACGGAUUAGAUACCCUGGUAGUCACGCCGUAUAC